UUGAGUUUUGAAAAUUGUUAUAGAAGUGUAUUAUUGUAUUAUUACUCCAAUAAUAUGUUUUUUUGUGAUAUAUCAGUUUUGGCGGCUGUAUGACUUGUGACCCAUUCCUUUUCUUAAACUUUACAUCUUAUUCUAUUUAGGUUUUAUCCAUAUCAUUACACACCAUUGGCUUAUGAUGUAGGAAUGUGCACAACGAAACAUUUAAAAAGUAGCAAAGGGGGAAGAAACAAGGCAAGACAUCUGAGAGGGAUGUGAACAAGGUAAAGGUGGAUGAGAGGUCACAGUAACAAGUAUCAAAUAUUCAGCUGCAAAGGGGUCGAAAAGAUUGACUUGUAGUUGACUGAAGUUUACUAAAAUUGUUAAAUUUGUGAUGAUUUAUGAAGAGGGUUUCCAGUUAUGUUUGCGUACGAAAA